UACGUAGGUGGCACGCGUUGUCCGGAUUUACUGGGCGUAAAGAGCGCGCAGGCGGUCGUUCAAGUCGCGUGUGAAAGCCCCCGGCUCAACUGGGGAGGGUCACGCGAUACUGAUCGACUCGAAGGCAGGAGAGGGUAGUGGAAUUCCCGGUGUAGUGGUGAAAUGCGUAGAUAUCGGGAGGAACACCAGGGGCGAAGGCGACUACCUGGCCUGUUCUUGACGCUGAGGCGCGAAAGCUAGGGGAGCAAACGGG
rnacentral:rRNA from 1 species